GUCGGUGGACUUGGUUUGAAUCUGACAUCAACUGAUACACUCGUUUUCAUGGAGCAUGAUUGGAACCCAAUAAAAGAUCACCAGGCAAUGGACAGAGCCCAUAGGCUGGGCCAGUGAAAAGUCGUAAAUGUCCAUCGUCUCAUCAUGUAGGGAGCCUUGGAAGAGAAAGUUAUGAGCCUCCAAAGAUUCAAAGUGUCAGUUGCCAAUGCUGUCAUCAAUGCAGAGAAUGCCAGUAUGAAAAUGAUGAAUACGGGCCAGUUGCUCGACUUAUUCACUCCCGUGCAGGCCAGCAAAAAGGGUGCUUCCCAUUCCAAGAGUGCCAAUGGAAGCCUCGAUGAAGAUCCAAAGUCCAUGGGCGGAGGGAAGGGCCUGAAAGCCAUCCUCAAUGGGCUGGAGGAGCUUUGGGACCAAUCCCAGUACACAGAGGGAUACAACCUCAGCCAAUUCUUAGCAAAGCUCAACGGCUGAAAACUCGUCGCUGCCACCAGUGUACAAAGUGUAUAUUGGAAGAGGGAGUUCGUCGGCUCAAAGAUUUUGACAGUGAUCGUGUCAUCCCCUGCUAAUUCUUUGUUUUUCGUAUAUGUUUAUUAUGUUUCUGAGAAGCUGGCUAAAUUGCAGUGACUGGUCGCUCCAUGCGGGCAGAAGGGAAUUUUGAUCAUCCAUCAGAAAAAAGGUAUUGGAAAGAAAAUGUAUGAGUUUUGAAUAUUGUAUAUACCGCCAGCUGCUCACAUAAUCGAGUUCCCCGGUCCAUUGAAUCAGCUGCUGCUCUCAUCUCUAUAUACUGG